rnacentral:rRNA from 1 species
UACAGAGGAGCCAAGCGUUGUCCGGAUUGACUGGGCGUAAAGCGCACGCAGGCGGUCGGGCGCGUGGGGUGUGAAAUCUGGCCGCUUAACGGCCAGGCGCCAUCCCAUACGGCACGACUGGAGUGAUGCAGAGGUCGAUGGAAUUGCCGGUGUAGUGGUGAAAUGCGCAGAUAUCAGGAGGAACACCGGUGGCGAAGGCGGCUUGCUGGGCCAGUUCUGACGCUGAGGAGCGAAAGCGUGGGGAGCGAACAGG